GAACUUUAAGAAAAUAUCAAUAAUUUAAAGAGGAUUUUUUAAGUUUUUAAUUUUAUUUUUUUUGUAGGAACUUUAAGAAAAUAUCAAUAAUUUAAAGAGGGUAAAAUAGCCAAUAAUUUUGAUUUUUUUUUUAGCUAUUUCCGUCUACAAACUAUUGUUAAGGGUAAUAUUGUCUUUGCACAGUAAAUUAACGGUCAAUGUUAAAAUUAACUGAUGGUAGGGGUUUUUUUACAAAUAAACCAAUUCUCGCC
rnacentral:lncRNA from 1 species